UUGCAAACCUGAACAACUUUUAUUCUACAUGUUUUAUCAAAAGUUUCGUGAGAAAAAAGUUAAUCAUUGUAACAGAAAUUCAAUGGUUCAGGCGAGCCAUGAGGCCUAUGGGCCCAUUUCUUGAUAUGACACGAAAGAUCUCAAUAAACUGUACAACUUUUGUUAUAUAUGUCUAAGCGAAAUAUUUACGAGUAAAUAGUUAUGAUUUAAAACGUGGAGAAAAAUGAGACACUUUUUUAAACUCCAUUUUCGACCCCUACCGAGCUUCCAUACUAGGCGCUUCCGGAAAUUUUGAAAACCCAGGUGCACAACUACAACAUGUCGUCUAACAUCACUGAAAAUUUCAGCACUCUAGCUUUUUUCGUUUUUGAGUUUUUGUCUGGACAAAAUGGUCAUCUGAAAAUCGAUAAAAGGGGGAUAACUUCCAACCGGAAGUGAUUUUUCAAAAAUUGAAACGACGGUACAAACUUCAAAUGACAACGCAUCAAUCCUGAAAAUUUGAAGCAAAUUGAUCCAGCCAUCUCCGAGAAAUCUUCUGCACAAAAAUCGGUAAGGAGAAAAAAAAAGAAUAAUAAUAAUAAGAAAAGUGAAAAAUCAACAAUAGAAUAAUAGAAGGGUCUUCCGCUGAAGACGGAAGACCCUAAUAAGAAAAGUGAAAAAUCAACAAUAGAAUAAUAGAAGGUUCUUCCGCUGAAGACGGAAGACCCUAAUAAUAAGAAACAGAGUAAAAACAAUAUGUUCCCAAACUUUGUUUGGGGAACAUAAAAAUGCAAAAAUAGGGUGGGGUCAUUUAAAAAUCUUCUUCUCAAAAACUACUGAGCCAGGAAAGUGGAAAUUUACAUGAAAGCUUUCUGACAUAGUGCAGAUUCAAGUUUGUUAAAAUCAUGGCCCCCGGGGGUUGGAUGGGGCCACAAUAGGGGAUCAAAGUUUUACAUACAAAUAUAUAGGGAAAAUCUUUAAAAAUUUCUUCUCAAAAACUACUGGGCCAGGAAAGUGGAAAUUUACAUGAAAGCUUUCUGACAUAGUGCAGAUUCAAGUUUGUUAAAAUCAUGACACACCCCCCCCUCCCCCCCCCCCUCCCCCCCCCCCCAAGAGUAAGAUAGGCAACAAUAGGGGAUCAAAGUUUUACAUACAAAUAUAUAGGGAAUAUCUUUAAAAAUCUUCUCAAGAACCACUGAGCCAGAAAAGCUGAGAUUUACUUGAAAGCUUCCUGACAUAGUGCAUAUUCAAUUUUGUGUGAAACUCAUGACCCCUGGGGUUAGGAUAGGGCCACAAUAGGGGAUCAAAUUUUACUUAAGGUAUUCCAUGUAUAAUGAAAGGAUAAUGAACAAUUUUGAAGGAUUUAGAUCAACAUAAAACUUUAUUGUUAAAUAAUGAUGGAAGUGAAGCAGAUGAAAUUCACAUGACUGGUAAAUGAUUAGAAGCUGACCUUUUUGCACUUAAGACUUUUUGGAAGAGUUGUCUGCCCUUUGUAAAAAUAAGAAAAAUCUAAUUUUCUAAAAAUGUGUGUGGUCAAUGAUUAAUUUUAUUUCAUAUUUUCAUAAAAAGAAAGUGUAUGUAACUUUCUACCAAGAGAUUAGUAUGAAUAUAUAAUUUGUUUUUAAAAUAUUGUAAUAAAAGAUGCUUUUCCCAUAUACUUCAAUGUUAAAUUCUAGGUGAAAUAUAUCAAGCAGUAAACAAAAUUUAGAAAAUUCCUACCGUGGGUUAUUUUUAUUUGAUGAACCCUUCAAAAUGAUACCAUGAUUACAAAUAUUCCACCAUCCAUUUAUUAGAUAUGAAAUAUGGUCAUUAUACAUUGAAUACCUUAACAAAUAAAUAGAAAAAAUAUCUUACUUGUCCCAUAAUUUUAAAACUUGCAUAAUUUUAUGAAAAAUAUUCUUUAUACUAUAGUUGAAAAGGAUACUAAAUACAAUAAAAAUUGUUGUGAGCAUAUUUACAGAGAUAUUGCGAGUUGAAAUCCAAAUACAGCAAUAUGCAUAUUUCGAUCGGAGAUUUACACGCCUAUUACUGUGACGUCAUAUGCAACAAUUGGAAUGAGAAAGCACGUAGUAAGCCGGUGGUGAUUUAGGUGAUAAUCCUAUUAUUUUAUCUAUAAAACUGCUUUAACAGCAUUAUCUGUGUAUUUACUCAUCAAUUAAUGGACUAUGGUGUAUUGUUUGGCAUACGGUUGCACCAAUAUUCAGAAGAAAGGGUGCCGAUUUAAUCAUUUUAGUUCCUCAAAGGAUGCAGCUGGGAGGAUGGCAUGGAUCAUACACAAGUUUGAUGCUACAGAUAUUAGUCGGUUGUGUUCGGAACACUUUUCAAAACUUCAGCUAGACCGAGAUCCUGAGAAUUAGAAGGCGACUGGCUUUGCAGGGGCAAAGAUUCGACUUAAAAGUGAUGCCUACCAGGUCUGUUUGUUCAAAGUCCCGGAGUUAUGGGAGUUCAAAAUGCCCCAACCCUGAGGGGCCUUCUUGAAACUACAAUGGGCUGAUACUACAUGGAGAUUCUGUGCAUUAACUUAGUGGAACGCCAUCUUCAGUUUCCAUCAUGUCCAGCAGCUACUGCGGAAGCCGGCAGAGGCAUAGACCAUUGACCACCACCUCUUACCUCUUCCUUCGCUUAUUUCAAUAUGGAUUGACUCAUCUGCAUUCAGUCUCAUUGCGCAAGAGAGACAAGGUUUGCCCAUGGCAAUCUGGUUGACUGUUGAGGACCCAAGAACUUGAAGAUGAAUACCACUGAAAGACUUGUUGAUGAUGUUAUAAUUGUGGUUUUCUAUUGAUACUAUUUAAAUGUGCUGGAAUUUUUAUUGUCAUAGAUAAAAAUAUUUUUCAAUGUUACAAUGUUUGUUUUCAAAUCGCUCGUGUCAAGUUCAAACUGCGUGUUGAUGAUUCUAAAUAAGAGGUGAUUUUGUGAAAAU